GCUGCAGUCCGCAUCUGAGAUAUAUUCUUGCCUCAGUCCGCAUCCUAUCAGUCCGGGCCCACGCCAUCCAGGUAUUGGCCGAUGGAGGCAGAAGGCUGGCUUCCUCUCCUCCGCCGCCGCAUUUUAUCCGUCCCGCCCCGCGCCAUCCAGGUGACAUGGAGGAAGAAAGAAUAAGUGUUGGGUUACAGAAAAGUAUGAUGCAGGACUCGGUGACCUUUGAGGAUGUGGCUGUGGACUUUACCCAGCAGGAGUGGGCUUUGCUGGAUCUUGCUCAGAGGAGCCUCUACAGAGAUGUGAUGCUGGAAACCUUCCAGAACCUGGUCUC